CAGCUCGCGGACGCUGCUGCUGGUUCGCUCGCUGAGGGAAAACUGGGCGCCGCCGGGUGCCACGACGCCUCGCUCACAGCCGUCCAGGCGUCCACCGCGCCGCCGGCGCCGGGAGCCGCGCCUAGCUGGAUGCCAUCCGCUUCGCCGCCGCCGGGUGCCGCACCACACUCCUGGUGUACAAGAAAAUCGAUUUCUGCUGCCUGCCAACUGUGAAUUUGUUACCAUCCAUCUGUCACAUGGACUUCCAGCCGGGCUUCAGACAUGGGAGCAGACAAGGUGGCAGUCAGAAUCAGCUUCACUGAAUGAUGAAUUGAGACUGUAAAUUGAUAUUGUCAUUAUAACAAGUUGAAACCAUCUGGCUCUGUUUUUAUCAGUGGAAUCUGAGGAAGAUUGGUCAGCAUCCUCUUCAGCAGAGUCUUCCAUCACGUCGGAAGCGACUGAUUCCUCUGUGCCUUGUUCAGUCAUUGUUUCAUCUUCCUGCACAACAUGGUGGAAGCAAUCAAUGUAUUGUACCUACAAAAACUGCUGCCUUCAGAAAUCACAAUAAAUAUGGUGGAUUAUUACUACAUGAGGUUCACAACACCAGCAACAGUGUCAUCAUGUGUAAGGUAAUGUGCGCUAACCUGCAGGAACACAUACUUGUUUCAAAGCAUGUUCCCUGAGAAAUAAAAUUAUCGUAAGUUUCAGGAGCCUAUUGCAAUAUUAAUUUUCUUCCUUGCUCCACAUGACUUGUUUGCUUAACUGUUGGUGUAGAUUAAAUAAAAUAUUCAAUUUAUGGUACUGCUAGACAGUUUAUUUACAAUCGCAGAUGGUGUUCAAAUAGUAUAUCAAAGAGGAACGUCUAGGAUUUAAAGUGUAACUCAUUUCCUUUUCCCUGGUAAGGAGGGCCACAGACAUGCAUAUGUACUAGUAAUAACAGUUUAGCGUACUAACUUAGCAUGGAGAAAUUAGAAGGUCCCGAGGCAAAAGUAACAAGAAUUUUAAGCAUCAGAGUAGAAUGUUUUCCCAGAUAAACCCAAAUAAGCGCUGCUAUAAUCUGACUUCUACGAAUCUGAACUCAAAAAUAAAUUGAUAAUGUAGCAUUACCUUUCUUGUACCACACAGAUUUUUGUACUGUGAUAACAUGUUGACCAUAGCUUUCGUUUCUCUGCCUCUAUGCAUCUCCUUCUCCUUUUCAUCAGCAAACUUGUAUAGAACUUUGCCACCCACUGCAGUUAGACGAUAGGAGAGAAACAAUAAGGUGCAGCUCAUGCCUCAUGACAGUACCCUCUGUUAAUGCCUAUGGUCAUCGAGCAUAGCUAUUGUAUUGCUGGUAUUUGUGCUUAAACUUGUGUACGCUGUUAAUGCCUAUGGUCGUGUUAUGCAAUCAUUUUUUGAGGCAACGACGGGGGAUGAGGAUCCCCACCUGAUCACUUUACCACUGAUCCUGGCGGAAGCCGGUAAUGGACGGUGCAAGCACCGCGGUACAAAUGGUGUGCCAAGGGCACAAAGUUUAGAGAGCGGGGGAACAAAGUAGAAAUUACAUCUGGAACAGAGAACUCCAGGUGUCCCUUGUGCAUAAAGUUGGGAGUUUUGGAAGCUACGCAUGCAGAAAAAUAACCGAAUGAAAUGAAUCGCAGCACAAAGAAUGGAAAGGAUUUGCCUGAAAGAUUAUAAAGAUCUUACUGAAAGGCAUCCACUUAGAGGGCCAGUGAACAUGGACAAGAACUAUGGUGGCCCUCGGGAAAUUCACUGCAGCCCAUAGAAUCAAGCUAAGAUUCUGCCUUUGCCAUCUGCUUCAGCAGGAGCAUGUCCUGAACAGGGGAAAGUGAGGAAUUGUCAGUUCAGAGAGAGCUAAAUAAGAGGAGAGGCUGGAAGUGUGGCCGUGGAUUUGGUUUACUUAUGGUGGGGUACCGUGUACAGCAUCAUCGAGCACGUCAGGAAAAGGUUUUUAUUCAGCUAUGGAAAUCGGUUGGAAGCUAGCGUGGUUGUCUCAAAGUUUCAGUAUGGCCUAUGAGUUGUGCGAAAAAUUUCUACACCAAUCCAAGAAGUUGAAGUACAUGCGUGUCCUUGGCGACUGACUUUUGAUGCUUCGCGAUGAAGUCGUCCCAUUAGAUGGCGAUUAUCACAGUUUUAUCGCAUCUCCCUGGCCGGCAAGGCAGUCAUGCUUUCACAGCAUCAAAGCAGGUUGCUUUCAAGCUGCAGAAGAAAUGUCCAUAAUAUGUCUGUCUGGUAUGGGAGCUUUGAAUUCUGGCGCACUGGUGAAUGACGAUUGGACAUUUGGACCUUGUUCUUUCUCCAGCAGUGCCUUUCAAAGCAUUCUUGCUCUCAAAGCUGUCAAUACAGUAAUCCACGUCAGGACAUCUCCUUCAGAUUUUUUUAACACGGACUGAAGAGCAUAUACCGGUAUCAUUCUUCGAGCUGGGCGACGUGAAGAUUGAGGCCGAAACUUCUUUGCAUUGGAAGCUCCAUGGGAGUUACUCAUGGUCAUGGCGUUGAACGGCUGCUACGUUGGAAGAAGAUAAUUCUUGCAAUAGUUCAGGUCGAAAUUCCGAUCAGACAGACGGACGAUUCACGAUUCAAUUGCAAAUGCAAGGCACCCACAGGGGUGAGACUUUGACAAACCUGGGCACUGGACACGACUUUCAAACGAAGAUCUUUUUUGUCUACCCCCAUGACGUUCUGUAAUCAACAAAUGGAAAUUACUGAUGGAAGGUCAUCACGAGAUUAAAUUACACAGCCAUUCUUGAAUUGCAGAGCGCAGAGCAUGAUUGGGCAAAAGAUCACGGUGGGGUAGCUCAAGGUUUGUCAUGGGUGAUGUCUGAUGGCCACUGUCCAGCCAUUCCCUUAUUGCGUCAGCUUCAUAGUAUUGGACAUAUGAAGUAGGAUGGCACACCACCAAGGUCUUCUGAUACUGAUUUAAAUGACAAUGAACAUAGCAUUGUCGAAGCAGACUUGAACAUUGGUUCAAGUACAGUCCAAGCCUCUGUUUGCAGAAUAAUGUGUGACCCCAGAGCUUUGUCUACAUUCCUGCAUUUCUUCAUGGCUAAGCUGAACAGCUUUCCUAGUGUAGAGGAAACGGAAAAAAAAUCAAGUUCGUUUCAAGUGGAGAAGAGGAAGCGGAAGAAGAGGGCGAGGGACGUACGGAAGGGCAGGAGCUUGGGAGGCGAGUAGACAUGGAGCAGCACGAAGGAGGCGGCGCCGGCGCCGGCGCCACGGGGGAACUUGUGCAGCGCCCAGAGCAGCGUGGCCCUGGACUCGGCCACCUCCCUCCCCACGGCCACGUACACCUUCUCGCCGGGGAGCGGCGGCUCCGGCGAAUCAUCGGCGUGCGGCGUGGGCGGCGAGGAGGAGCCGGCCGUGGCUGCAGUAGCCAUGCCCGUGCGCUGCAGGCUGCAGCUGCUUCGUCUGGUGCGUUUGGCCUGCUGCCUUGGCUGUCCAAGGCGGCCGGCGGGCGGUUGCUUUGCUUGUCGGGGUCCUGCCUGCCAUUUCUGGGCCCCUGUACCCAUUUAUAUAAUGGUUUCUACCCGCCCAACACGCAGAAAAUUUCCUUGUUACACUAGUGUAUUUAUGUUGUUUCAUCACAUAGUACUUAAAAUCGCCAUUUUUUUAUCUACUUUUCUUCAUUCACGCGUCGUUGUAGAGAGGACUAUAGAUGACUGCUCGAUUUAUACGAGUUUUGAGGAUGUGCAUCUAGUAUUUA